rnacentral:lncRNA from 1 species
CCGGGGACGCCGCAGCGUGGACGGACUGGGAGGGGCUGCAUGGAGCAGCGACCCGCCAGGGUGCCAGCAAAGAAAUUAUGGACAAGGGGAAAAACAACAGCAUGUAGCCUGUGAUAACCCAGAAUACAACACCUGUUCCCGUUCUUUU